rnacentral:rRNA from 1 species
GAUGAACGCUGGCGGCGUGCUUAACACAUGCAAGUCGAACGAGAAAGCCGGAAGCUUGCUUUUGGCGAGUAAAGUGGCGCACGGGUGAGUAACGCGUGGGUAAUCUACCUCCGAAUUUGGGAUAACACUUCGAAAGGGGUGCUAAUACCGGAUGAUAUCCAUUGGACCUUGGUUUGAUGGAUCAAAGAUAGCCGAUCCUUGGAAGCUAUUGUUUGGAGAUGAGCCCGCGUCCCAUUAGCUAGUUGGUAGGGUAAGAGCCUACCAAGGCGACGAUGGGUAGCGGGUCUGAGAGGAUGAUCAGCCACACUGGAACUGGAACACGGUCCAGACUCCUACGGGAGGCAGCAGUGAGGAAUUUUGCGCAAUGGGGGCAACCCUGACGCAGCAACGCCGCGUGAGUGAUGAAGGCCUUCGGGUCGUAAAGCUCUGUCAAGUGGGAAGAACCUAUUUUAUGUGAACAGCAUGAGAUACUGACGGUACCACUGAAGGAAGCACCGGCUAACUCCGUGCCAGCCACCGCAGUAACAC